UCUCACACACACACACCACAAUGACGUCGUAAACAAUAGCACUAACCACCAUCGUCCGCAGCUCCCGCGUACAGAGGCCUCAGGCUCCCGGCUCCACGUGGACCGACCUCGCCCGGCAGCGCGGGGCCACCUCACCGCGAGCUCCUCCCGCAGCCCGGCCCGGGUCACCUCGACUCGCCAGGCUUAACUCAAUAACCACAACACCGGAAAAGGAAGCAAAGGUCGAAGUUCAUCCGCGGCCCUGAGGCCUGUGGGAAACGUAGUCCAACAACGAAAGAGCCCUGAAGCUCAAGCGGAGCCCGCUGGCCGCAGGGGCCGCACCACGCCCCAGACCCUGGAGUUUCCGGGUGCGCAGACCCUUGCCAUCAGCAGAGGCUGCCGCUGCGCGUCCCCUAGGCGCGGAAGAGGCGGCUGGUGGUCCCUGACGGCAAGGUGAAGUCGAGGCAGUAAUCGGGAACCCAGGUUUUAUACAUUACGAAUAAAGCUGGCACGUUUCCAUUUCUCCUGGGCAAAUAUUUAGAAGAAAAGUUGCUGGGUAAUUGGUGGAGACAAGGUUUCGCCACAUUGACUGGGCUGGUCUGGAACUCCUGAGCUCAAGCAACCGGCCCUCCUUGACCUCCCAAAGUGCUAGGAUUACAGGUGUGAACCACCGUGCCCGGCCCUACUUUCUAUCGAAGUAGAAUAGAAGCACUGAGACCACAGAGGCAAGAGCUGGGGAAGGAAAACUGCCCAUGAGAUGAGAUGUGCCUCUCAGCUUCCAAAAUCGGGGAGGGUUGCAAAGGGAUGACACCAUCCACACCAGAACUGCAUGAAUGGCAUCAGGAAUGAUCAGAGACCAUAAAUUCCAGUGAGACCAAUAACACCAUUUCUGGUCCUGCAUGCUCUUCCAAACUUUGCCACUAACCCCUUCAAGAGAUGCCCCCCAUGGAAUCCAGCCAUCAUGCUGUGAGGAAUCCAAGCAGCUACAUAGAAAGGCCACAACUAGAUAUUCCAGCUGUAGUCAGCUGAAGCUCCAGCCAACAGCCAACAUCAACCACCACACGUGAAAACGAGCAAGCCUUCAGAUGAUUCCGACUCCCAACCUCCAAGCCACCUCAGCUGAAGCCAAGUAGAGCAGAGACUAGCUGUCCCCCAAUGCUCUAAUAUGCAGAUUCAUAAUUAAAAAGAAUGUUAUUGUUCUAA
rnacentral:lncRNA from 1 species